GGGGAACGUUGGCGGCGUGCUUACACAUGCAGUCGAACGAUGAUCCGGUGCUUGCGCCGGGGAUUAUGUGGCGAACGGGUGAGUAACACGUGAGUAACCUGCCCUUGACUCUGGGAUAAGCCUGGGAAACUGGGUCUAAUACCGGAUAUGACUCCUCAUCGCAUGGUGGGGGGUGGAAAGCUUUUUGUGGUUUUGGAUGGACUCGCGGCCUAUCAGCUUGUUGGUGGGGUAAUGGCCUACCAAGGCGACGACGGGUAGCCGGCCUGAGAGGGUGACCGGCCACACUGGGACUGAGACACGGCCCAGACUCCUACGGGAGGCAGCAGUGGGGAAUAUUGCACAAUGGGCGAAAGCCUGAUGCAGCGACGCCGCGUGAGGGAUGACGGCCUUCGGGUUGUAAACCUCUUUCAGUAGGGAAGA
rnacentral:rRNA from 1 species